rnacentral:hammerhead_ribozyme from 1 species
GCGCUGAUGAAGAGUCCCAAACUAGGGCGAAACAGCUGUCCAGUAC